rnacentral:tRNA from 1 species
GGCCCGGUGGCGGAGUGGUGACGCGGCGGGGGUGCAACCCCGCAGACCCUCCGUUCGACCCGGAGGCCGGGCCUCCA